AAAUGGCGAUUUGUCCCGGCUGCCGUUCAACAUUUUGAGCUAUUAAUUUUGAGUAAUUGGAGAAAUUUCAACCUAUAUUUCAACUCUAAAUAGGUAGAUUAGGUAUUCAUGUGUUAUUUAUUAUUUUGCAAAAAUGAUAAAAACUACCUGAAUUGUGAAUUAAGCUGAAAAUAUGCUUUAUUUUUCUUGUGACCAUGUCAGUGUAAGUGAAGUGUAAGGUGAGGAUUUCAGUUGGAUUUCCGGGUUUUCUGAGCGUGCGUGUUUUGAUGACAAUACAAAUCAAUCUAAAUUUGUCAAAUUUUGUUAAAAUUACGCUGAAAAAGGAUCUUUUUGCCGAAUUUUCUCACUCAGAAGUAUCUUGCAGCCUCUGUGAAACCCGAAAGGAUGUCCAGGCAGGGCAGUCGGCUGGAUUCCAAGAAAGUGACCUGCGUCUGCUAGCCACUUGCCGGAAAAGCCCAUCCCGCCUUUUAGCAUGGACACGAGUGGCAGCAGCGACAUCGCCGGCACCUCCGGACAGCUGCAGGUGCUGCCGCUGAGUCAGGUGCUGUCCGGCACGAGCGGCCAGCCGAUACUUGUGCAGGCGCUGCCACAGCAGAUCUCCACCGGCACGCAGCCCAUGCAGAUGCUGCCUCUAGCGCAGCUACAGCAGUCCGGCGCCCAGAUUAUGGUGCAGCCCACGCCGGCGGCGCAACCGCAGGCACAGUUCAUCCAGCUGGCGGACGGUCAGACGUUGGUGGUGCAUCCGUUGCCCGGAAUUGGUGUGUCCGACGGCGUGGCCAGCCAGCCGCAGCUCAUCAACAUCAACGGCAACCUGUUGCAGCUGCCUGUGAGCCAGAACACCACCGCGGCGUCCAUAGCGCAGCCCCAGGUGAUGAUGGUGGCCACGGAGGCUCAGCCGCAAGGCCAAAGCGUGAAAGUCACGCACCAGCCCGCCUCGCUCACCACGCAGACGACGCCAGCCGCGUCUACGACCACCGCGGUGGCGAGCAGCAGCGCUAGCGGCGAGUCCGAGGACCAGAUUCUCUACGUGAACGCCAAGCAGUACAAGCGGAUCCUCAAGCGGAGGCAGGCGCGUGCCAAGCUCGAGGCACAGGGUAGAAUACCCAAGGAGCGCUCCAAGUAUCUGCACGAGUCGCGGCACAGGCAUGCGAUGAACAGGAUUCGCGGCGAGGGUGGCAGAUUUCACUCGGGCAGUGCUCAGUCGCAGAAAUGACUGCAAAUCCACUGAGUGUGUCUUCUGGGGAAUUCGAGGUUGCACUUUUCAUUCACUGUCAGUGAAAGUUUGGGAGCUGAAGGGCUUUGGCGUCCAGGAAAUAACUUAUUGAUGCAAUUAAAGGUUUCAAAUUCAGAGCUCUGAACUCCUCACGCUGACCUAUGGAGCUUUGGUGUCGCAAAUGCUGAGGGACUUUGAGAAUGUGGACGAUGUGAAUAAGCAGCUGGAGCGUGUGGGC